GAAGUAAGCCAAGACAACCGCUGGCUGUCAUUUCGGUGAUGGCGGGAGGAAGGUCCGGACUCCAUAGAGCAGGGUGACGGUUAACGGCCGUCCGCCGUGAGGCGAGGAAUAGGGCCACAGAGACGAGCGUAUUAAGUUACGGUGAAACGCGGUAACCUCCACUCGGAGCAAUUCCAAAUAGGCACGCGUUGACGUUGCUCGCGGAGCGUGCGGGUAGGAAGCUUGAGCCGUGGAGUAAUUCACGGCCUAGAGGAAUGGUUGUCAUAACGCGUGGGUUCGCCCAUGCGUCGUAACAGAAUCCGGCCUAUCGGCUUGCUUCAACU
rnacentral:RNase_P_RNA from 2 species